CGGAGGAGGGAAACACGUGCGACAGGGGCAGCGCGGGAGGGUGGCGCGGACGACCUUUGCCAGUGGCCGGACGAGAGAGGAGGAUCUUGAGUACUGUCGCCACCACCCAUGGUCUGCUCUUCCCCUUUUUCUCUCCUCAUCGCCAAGAUUGAAGAUUGGGCUGGCAGGCUGAACGGUGCUGCUCAUCCAAUCCACUCGCAGUCUCACUGGGCAGGAGGAGGCCGAGUUGCAGCCGGGUUGCCUGCUCGCUCUCCUCUUCCCCAAUCCCCUGUGCCUCUCCUCCUCUAGCUCUUUGGCCCCUUCUCCACCGCCACCCAUCUGCCAAUUUUAUCCAUGGCUGGAACAUGGAGAGGCAGAGGAAAGCAAAGCACCAUGGAUGCGGAGGCAGAGCUCGACAUGGAGGAGCAACUCCCCUUCGUCUAGGAUCUACAGCAGUUUUUCAAUGGUGAGUUGGUGCUACUGGUGGUGAGGGGCACGAAGACGGAGUACUUGGUGGAUCUGUAGUCGUACUACAUCACCGAAUCCUCGGUGUUGGUCGUCAUGGAAAAACACAUCUAGAGGUGAUUAGCAAGGUAUGUUGACUCUUGUCGUGCAUAAGGGGCCAGAGGUCUCUCCACGAUUUGAGACAUACUAGAUAAUUCCAUGGUCGAUCAAGAGCAGCGGUGUUGUGUUGAUGAAGAACAGGGUCAUGAGGGUGUUCAGGAUGCCAUCAAAUUAUCUCGAGUUCUAGAUUGGUGUUCUUGCGGCUCUAGAUUGUCACCCACUAGGUGGAGCUCGGUUAACCAUGGAUUUGCGGCAAGAAGAACUCACGCCAAGAUUGAUUCGUUGUUAAUGAUGUCCUGCUGGCUCAUGCUCUCCUCCACGGUAUUCUCAUGGCCAGCCUACAAGCGGAUAGCUGCAGCAUUGGGGCUCAUACUGGUCAGCCAGGUCCUGGCAGUGCCCAGGGACAAAGCAUCGAUGACGGCGACCUUGCCGACUCUGCACUGUCCUAGAAUUUAGGGUGGAAGCCGCAUAGGUUUGUCUGACCUUGAUGCUUGAUACAUCUUUAUCUGUUAUAUCCAUUUGUUGAACACGUGCAUUUAUUUUUUACCUUUUGCAUUCAGGUUCCCAUCAUACCACUAAUUCUUACAUUUUAAUAUUUCUCUGUAAGAAGGUGGAACGACAAUGCUGUAGGAGAAGUAUGAUAAAAAUGUGUCCACACAGUAAGUGUUCUCCUUAAUUUAGCUCUUGCAAAUGAGAGCAAGUCGAGUAGUCUGCUAGCUUUCUCAGUUUUUCAAUCUGUGUAGUGAAGAAGAUUAAGAAGUUUCUAAUUCGUAUUUACCUCACAGACACUCAUUUUCUAUUUUGCUAGAAUUUCAUUACUAAAGGAGGUGCAUCAUUAUUUUUUGUUUUCCUUAGUUAGGUUCAUUCUUCAGUGCCAUUGACAUCAUUUGGCUCAAAACAGUCCAUGGUAAAGAUGGUUUUAUGUUGCUUUGUACAUGUGACAUGGGAAACCAACGCGGAAAGCUCACUUCUGGUGGUGAUGCUCUAAUAUCAUGGGGCAAGUGAUUCUUCUCUUUUGCUUCUGGCAUUGUCUUCUUUGAAUCCUCCUUAUCUAUUUUACUUAGGAUGGGGGAGGGACACAUAUAUGCUGAUGUGACGGUUGUGGUCAUCCAGUACAUUUGCAGCCUCACCUCUACACAACCUCCUACAUUUGACCAUGCAAUUCAUGUCCACUUUGUCCAGGGCUGUUUCCUUUUCCUUUUAAUUUGUUUAGCAGAUGUGAACAUCCUUGAUUGUAUUUGUUUGCCAAAAAUUAAUCCCCAAACCUUCUUGUUUCGUUUGUGCAGAUUUCUUUUGAAGAAGUACAUGUGUGUUCUAGCUCGAUGGACAUUAGCCCAAGAUCUGGAAGAAAUCAAGAGAUAACCAAUUGAUGUUGUGGAUGACAUCUAAGGUUGUAGCUAUUGCAUAUAGGACAGUCAGCCACACUAUUGAUAUCUCCGUCUUUGCCAGUACCGCCUGCCCUGUUGUCAUGAAUUAUAUGCAGGUAUCCAGCAGAGUACAUUGUUUUACCAGUGCAUUGAAGCUGAAUCUACUCUUGGUAAAAUGAUUAUCAAAGUUAAUGUUAUAAAGUAGUCCUGAUAACAUAAAUCAAAGUUAAUGGUAAAAUAAUUCGUUGUGGUUUGCUUUCCAUCUUUUUUGUUUGCCAAGAAAUAUUUUAUUACCGCUCAUCGUCUGUGGAACAGUUUGCCUGGCUGCACCCACAAUCUACUAUCCAUUUUUGUGAAACUUAUUUCCGUGCUAUCCUCUAUUUCUCUGAAUACAUUGCAUUUACUUUGUCCGCUCACAUCUUCCAUUUGUAGCCCACUUUUUUGUUUCUAAUCAGUGCACAUAGAUUCUACUUUGUUUGGCAUUUGUGCUACAACAGAACUAAUGGUUGACUGCAUUGUAUCCUUUGAAAGCAUCCAAUUGUUACUAAUGCAUAUUUGGUAACAGACUGAGGUUUGUGCUCUGCUUUCAGCCAUGUUCAGAACACAGAUUUACCUCUUACAGUAUUUCACAACCUCUUGCAUGUGGAAUCAAGUCACAUUAUUUGUUGAAAUUGGUCCAACCUGGACAUUGCAUGAUGCACCGAGGAGGUACACGACCACCGGCGUCCAUGUCGUCAGAUGUUCUCGAUAUAGAGAAUACAUCUAUGCAGCAACCCUAGAGAUGGUUACCCAGGAUAUUCAGUUUGUGAUUCAUGCCUUGUAUGCUGAUGCCCCAAUCAAAGAAUGGAAUUUUCUGUAUCCCCUAAUGUACGAGUUACUGUUCAGUGCAAGUGCAUCAUGCUUUCCAAGCCUCUCCUCCCCAUCUUGAUCUGCAGUUAAGGGCACGUGUUCUUGAGGUUAAUUCUGGUAAAAUCUUCGAACGCAAGGAUAGAGCAACUUACUGAUCGAUACCUCAGAAAAGCACCAUAGUGAAGCUACUCAUUUAGAAACUUGUCAUGGCUUGCUGAGAGCUGGAGUAAGCUGGAGCUGGAGCAAAAAAUGUUUAGAGCCCCUUACAGCUCUCUGCACCGCAUGUACUCCCUCUGAUGUAAACGUGUUGAUGGUUUAAUACAAAAGUCAACUUCAGGUCAGGACCCCUCUUGUUCAGGUCACCAUUAAAAGACAAUAUAUGCUAGAAUGGGAAUUGAAGGUUCUCGUGAUGGUGCAUACUUCUUGUUUAGAUAGAAUCGAAGAUUGAACAAAUGAUUCAACUAGUUCUCUAUUCCAUCGAUGAUCAUUGUAUAAAUACAAGGUGAACGGACGCGAGUUAACGGACGCGUCCGAUCGUGGGGGGUUGGGAGUAUGGAAACACGAACGAGAAACACACCCGUCGGUUCUCA